rnacentral:rRNA from 1 species
GACGAACGCUGGCGGCGUGCUUAACACAUGCAAGUCGAACGAUGAUGCCCUGCUUGCAGGGUGGAUUAGUGGCGAACGGGUGAGUAACACGUGGGUGAUCUGCCCCGCACUUCGGGAUAAGCCUGGGAAACUGGGUCUAAUACCGGAUACGACCCCCUGGUAGGUCAGGGGGUGGAAAGAUUUUAUCGGUGUGGGAUGAGCCUGCGGCCUAUCAGCUUGUUGGUGGGGUAAUGGCCUACCAAGGCGUCGACGGGUAGCCGGCCUGAGAGGGUGAUCGGCCACAUUGGGACUGAGACACGGCCCAGACUCCUACGGGAGGCAGCAGUGGGGAAUAUUGCACAAUGGGCGCAAGCCUGAUGCAGCGACGCCGCGUGGGGGAUGACGGCCUUCGGGUUGUAAACUCCUUUCGACAGGGACGAAGCGUUAUAGUGACGGUACCUGUAGAAGAAGCACCGGCUAACUAC